ensembl:lncRNA
CGUGAAUGUCUGAGACAUUCAAAACUCGAAUAGGGCGCAAAGUAAUUUCUUCUUGUGAGGAACUGCCCAAUAGGUCGCAAGAUCCGUAGUUGGCUCUCACAUGCUAAAUGCCAGUAGCGCCCUCGCCCACAGUUAUGACAACCAUAGACCCUACCACACCUGUUCACCCUUUUAAAUGUAGAUCUUUUUUAUAGCACCUUUUGGCCAUCUUGAGACAAACCAGAUGGCAUUAGGGUACACCAUAGCAGACUGUGCUGCUUACCUGUCUAUGGUGAAGGGAAGGGCGGAAUCACCUUAAUUGAUAAUAAGACAGGACAAAUUACAUUUUGUCUCGGAAACCAGAUGUUCUCUCCCAGACAAACUGUAGGUCCUGCAUAAAUGUCCAGCAGGACAUUAGAUAGUCGCAAAGGUGCAGAACAAGUGUGUGGGACUGUCCCAUCCACACACAGCAGAACACUUGUUCUGCCUCAGGUUGCAUCUACUCAGUGCCGGUAAUAACCUUCAGAUACAAAGCAAACAACCAGUACUCUCCAGUAUACUACAAUGAGAAUCACUGACCUCGUUAGUGACAGCACUCAUGGAUCAAUUCAGUUGUUACUCCCAUUGUGUUUUACUAUAGAAUACCCAGAUCCUUGCUUCACAAACCCCCAGUUUUUAAAAUGCUUUGUGCCUUGGUUUUGUCUAUCUUUAUCCGCCUUCUUGUUUACUCAAUAAAAGAAAAAAGUAACUUGGUUCAUUUGUCUUCAUUUGUUCUGUUUAUGGCUAUCUCAAAAUAAAACAAAAGCAAGAAAACCCUCAACUGUAGACACCAGAGUGGAAGGCAAAGGUAGGCAUGGGGAUAGCUAAGGCUACAGUUGAUUGGCACAGCUUUGGACUACAAGCUUGGUUGGGGGCGGACAUGUUGGAAGCCACAAACACACUUUUUCUCCCCUGGUCCCAAAGGGGUAACAGAGCCAGGUCGAGACAUGAAGGUGCAUAUAUUUAUAAACAGAAUUAUCCUGUUGGACAGUCCACAAAAAUCCUUCUCUAAAUCUGGGCACGAUGGCAAAUGACUUUAGGCAGAGGCAGGUGAGUCUCUGGGAGUUCUCAGCCAUCCUGAUUGGUCUACGUCAUAGUGAGUUCUAGGCCAGCUGGGUCUACACAGUGAGACUCUGUCUUCAAAUCAAAGAGCCAUUGUCUAUUGCCUUGGGGGUGGGGGUGUAGCUCAGUUUAUAAGGGUCUAUAUUACCCAAAGCCUUUUCAGUUCACCAGCACUACAUAACAUCAAGGGUGAUGGUGCUUCAAGCACUUGGGAGGUGAAGGAUCACUGGCAGAUUCAAGGCCAUAAUAAUGGAAUAGAUGAGUUUGUUUGGUUUUGAAGAUUGGUGCCAUUUUUCUACUCUCCUCAUUGGUUUUUUUUUCCCCCCAUUGGAAAGCUGUGGAUGAUGGAGAGAAAAUGAGAGAGCAGUCAGUGUUUGUGGUAGCACACAUUUGACAAAGUGAGGACAGAACAACCACGAAUUGGGCUUCAAUGUCAAUUCAGCAUUCAUUGUUGUCAAAGCAUCCGUAACCAGACACAAAAAUGCUUUCCAGCCAAAAGAACAGAUACAUAGUUAAGAG